CGCGGGGUGGAGCAGCCUGGUAGCUCGUCGGGCUCAUAACCCGAAGGUCGUNGGUUCAAAUCCGGCCCCCGCAACCA
rnacentral:tRNA from 1 species